GACAGAGGGGGCAAGCGUUGCUCGGAAUUACUGGGCGUAAAGGGCGCGUAGGCGGGAUGGCAAGUCGGUCGUGAAAUCCCUCGGCUCAACUGAGGAUCGUCGAUCGAUACUGCCGUUCUUGAGGAUUGCAGAGGAGACUGGAAUUCCCGGUGUAGCGGUGAAAUGUGUAGAGAUCGGGAGGAACACCGGUGGCGAAGGCGGGUCUCUGGGCAAUUCCUGACGCUGAGGCGCGAAGGCGUGGGGAGCAAACCGG
rnacentral:rRNA from 1 species